AUCGCUUCUCAGCCUUUUAGACUAAGAUCAAGUGUAGUAUCUGUUCUUAUCAGUUUAAUAUCUGAUACAUCCUCUAUCUGAGGACAAUAUAUUAAAUGGAUUUUUAGAAUUAGAGAUAACUAGAAGUUUGCUCCGUUCAUUCCAUGCAUCGACCUAGUAUUGCAGUACCUCCAGAGAAUGAGUGCAGUACCU
rnacentral:snRNA from 1 species